CUCAGGAGCCAGAGCAGACUCAGCUGGUGCCUGCACCUGAGGAUCCAGCACAGGUGAGGACCCUUCAGGCUCAAGCCCCAGCCCUGGCUCAGCUGGUUCUGGAGGCGGGGACUCCUGUGCAGGCUGGGAUCCUUCAAGUUCAGCAUCUGAGUCCGAAUCCCAGGCCAUCACAGCUAUAUUCAACUGGGUCUGACUAAGAUCCUGCAACAGGUCAAAGUUGCGAAACACCAAUAGGAUGCCCAUCUGUCAGGAAUCAUUUAGCUGUGAUUCCAACAUUUCAGGGGUUGGAACAGAUGAGCCUCCAACUCUAUGAUUCUGUUGUCCUGGAUGACUCUGCAAUCCUCUUUUAUUGCAUCGACCUUUUCUCUUUUUUUCCUUUUCUGGAAUGUUUUCGUACAGGCCAGCUGUGCGUAUGGGCACCAAGCACACAAAACAGAUCUUAUUUGGAAAGGCAUGAAGCGGAUCCAGCAGAGGGAUGGAGCAGCAACAAACUUUAACAAGCCGUCAGAAGGCAUUCCCUUUUGAGAGUGUCCAGCCAUAAGCAGACAGGAUAGCCGGGAGAUGUCAAAUUUUGCUACCAUCUGCUGAGCGACGUCGGGUCUGGAGGAAAAUAACAAAGCCUGCAGACAAACGGACCCAGCCCCUUUCUCG